rnacentral:rRNA from 1 species
UGGGGAAUUUUGGACAAUGGGGGAAACCCUGAUCCAGCCAUCCCGCGUGUGCGAUGAAGGCCUUCGGGUUGUAAAGCACUUUUGGCGGAAAGAAACGUCAUGGGUUAAUACCCCGUGAAACUGACGGUACCUGCAGAAUAAGCACCGGCUAACUACGUGCCAGCAGCCGCGGUAAUACGUAGGGUGCAAGCGUUAAUCGGAAUUACUGGGCGUAAAGCGUGCGCAGGCGGUUCGGAAAGAAAGAUGUGAAAUCCCAGAGCUCAACUUUGGAACUGCAUUUUUAACUACCGGGCUAGAGUGUGUCAGAGGGAGGUGGAAUUCCGCGUGUAGCAGUGAAAUGCGUAGAUAUGCGGAGGAACACCGAUGGCGAAGGCAGCCUCCUGGGAUAACACUGACGCUCAUGCACGAAAGCGUGGGGAGCAAACAGG